rnacentral:siRNA from 1 species
UCUUGACCUUGUAAGACCUUU